AUACAUGCAAGUCGAACGAGUUCUCGUUGAUGAUCGGUGCUUGCACCGAGAUUCAACAUGGAACGAGUGGCGGACGGGUGAGUAACACGUGGGUAACCUGCCCUUAAGUGGGGGAUAACAUUUGGAAACAGAUGCUAAUACCGCAUAGAUCCAAGAACCGCAUGGUUCUUGGCUGAAAGAUGGCGUAAGCUAUCGCUUUUGGAUGGACCCGCGGCGUAUUAGCUAGUUGGUGAGGUAAUGGCUCACCAAGGCGAUGAUACGUAGCCGAACUGAGAGGUUGAUCGGCCACAUUGGGACUGAGACACGGCCCAAACUCCUACGGGAGGCAGCAGUAGGGAAUCUUCCACAAUGGACGCAAGUCUGAUGGAGCAACGCCGCGUGAGUGAAGAAGGCUUUCGGGUCGUAAAACUCUGUUGUUGGAGAAGAAUGGUCGGCAGAGUAACUGUUGUCGGCGUGACGGUAUCCAACCAGAAAGCCACGGCUAACUACGUGCCAGCAGCCGCGGUAAUACGUAGGUGGCAAGCGUUAUCCGGAUUUAUUGGGCGUAAAGCGAGCGCAGGCGGUUUUUUAAGUCUGAUGUGAAAGCCCUCGGCUUAACCGAGGAAGCGCAUCGGAAACUGGGAAACUUGAGUGCAGAAGAGGACAGUGGAACUCCAUGUGUAGCGGUGAAAUGCGUAGAUAUAUGGAAGAACACCAGUGGCGAAGGCGGCUGUCUGGUCUGUAACUGACGCUGAGGCUCGAAAGCAU
rnacentral:rRNA from 1 species